GUUGUGACUGCAGCGCUGGUGUGCGGAAGAGGGGGAUUGAAUUCCGCGUGUAGCAGUGAAAUGCGUAGAUAUGCGGAGGAACACCGAUGGCGAAGGCAAUCCCCUGGGCCUGCACUGACGCUCAUGCACGAAAGCGUGGGGAGCAAACAG
rnacentral:rRNA from 1 species